rnacentral:rRNA from 1 species
UACGUAGGAGGCGAGCGUUGUCCGGAGUUACUGGGCGUAAAGGGUGCGCAGGCGGCGGUUCGCGUGGCGAGAUGAAAUCUCCUGGCUUACCUGGGAGGAUGGUCGCCAGACGGGAUCGCUUGAGGGUCGGAGAGGGGCGUGGAAUUCCGGGUGUAGCGGUGAAAUGCGUAGAUAUCCGGAGGAACACCGGUGGCGAGGGCGGCUUCCUGGACCGACACUGACGCUGAGGCGCGAAAGCUAGGGGAGCAAACGGG